rnacentral:lncRNA from 1 species
AAUAUUCUAUUCAAUAGUUCCUUUCAUUAUUUGCCUGUCUCAAUGUUCUCUUGUGCAUGGCUUAUAUAUCGUGUCCUUACUGUUACAGUGAGUCCUAGAACAGUAAUGAGGGUCAAGAAGGUUCAGCGUCGUCGUCAAGUUUCAGUCUGAAUGUCUGGGGUCCAUCUGUGUCCGUAGUCGCUGCUGUCGUUUCAAGUUUCUUCCCCUUGGGACCAUAGUUGAGUCACAGCCUAAUGGUAAACGUUGUGAAGUUGGCAACUGGAGUCAUGGCUUUUCAUAUCUCUAUAGAUUUUGAUCAAGAUAUCCCAUUUGUUAAUAUCCUCCUGAAAUUUU